GACGACUUUGGUAGCGCACGCAACGCAAACAAAGAGACAAACAAAGCAAUUAGAAGAGGAGAAGAAACUGAGGGAUUUCAACGACUUUUGCUUCAGCUCACUAUUAAGCUUGGAUUGGAGAGCACCCAGAUUCCAUUUCCCAGGUGAUCCAACGCUCUCGAUUCCCUUUCUCCUUUUAAUUUAUUUAUUUGAUUUAUUUUUUAAUUUUGCUUCCAAUUGUGUUGUUGAAUUGUGUAGAAUGGUUGAAUUUUGAUUCCAAUUGCAUCAAAUUUGUUUGUUAGUUGGUGGCCGAGAAAAAUUGAGGCAAACAAAUAAGAUAGUGAAUUUGUUUUGUGAAUUCUGGACUCUUUUAUUUGGAUGUUUCGUUCGUAUUUCCUUAAUGGCACCCAUUUCAGUUGAUAAUUUGAUCUUAUGAACCAUUUUUCGGCAUGAAUAUCUUAGCAACCAUUGUUAUCUGAAUUAUAUCUUAAAUCCAUUGAGUUAACCUGUAUGGCGGAUGAAGGAUGGCAGCAGUUAUUAUAUUUUGGUGUCUUGAAUUCAAGGUACCAAUUUAGUGGACUUAUGAUAACUUUAGAGUUUUCAGUUUUCAUUUGAUCUGCAUUGCAUUCUGUCACUUAUGAUAAUUGGCGUUCGGUAUUGAUUCUCGAUUUCUCAUGCCAAAGUUUAUUUGGCGUUCUAGGAUUCAUACAGCCGACCUCACUUAGUUGGCUAAGGCUUUGUUGUUGUUGAUGUAUUUAUUCGGUGUUCUGUAGUUGUAUAUAUAUAGGAUGUUACAACUGUGAUUGAAGAGUUUGAAGGAAGAUAUACCCAAUGGGGGCUAUAUUGAGCUUGAAUCAUUCCAGGACUAGGGUCAGUGACCUUCUCAAGAUUUGCUGAGUGCAUCAUGCAAGAGG
rnacentral:lncRNA from 1 species